CUUUGAUUUGCAGAAUAUUUAGAGAAGCUGAACUCUGUAGAAUAGUUAGUUUUCACAAUUGUAACUCUUUUGCCAACAUAGUUGGAUAUUGUCCUGGUGACUAAUUCCCCCAACAACUUCAGUUCAUUUGAUGGUUAUGAGGUGCCAAGUUUCAACAGCUUGAAUGAAGUUGAGAAGCCACACAACAGACAGAAGAAUAAAUUCCUUCACCAAAGACUUUCACAAGGGUCCAUCACAUCAUCAGCUGCAAGAUGUGAGAUUCAAAGUUUGUGAGAAGAUUUGUAGCUCGGGUGCUCGUUGCUGUGGUUCUGUUCACCGAGCUGGG